AUAAGGAAAAAUGGUGUGAUUUGAGGAUAAUCCCACAGAUUAUGAUUGGUAUUUGUUUCUGUGCUGGAAUAGCAUCCCUUAAAGUGUGAAUAUUGUCUGAACCUUGCCUGAGGAUCUGACAGAGUCAUGCAGGCUUGGAGUUCAGCUGGAGAUACAGAGAUGCUUUCCAAUGUGAUCAUGCAGUUCCAUUGAAUUCUACUGGUUUGUUAAGUUUUGUUGUGCUGCAGGAACAGGGUAUUUAGUAUUUUCUUUAGAUGCUAAUUGAUUUGUUGUUGUUUUAAACUGGAAAAAGUUGCACUCUAUUUUCUAACAUUUGGGAAUAUGUCUUGCAGUGGUUUCGAGUGUAAAUUCAGAUGUAACAUUAGCAACUAGAUAAGUGGUGUCUAUAUAUUGAAAAAAAAUCAUAUUUAUCUGACAGCUUCUGCAGAGUAGCUGCUUCAUCUAAAUAACCAGAUAAAGGCCUGGAGGAGAAAAGGGGCUUAAAUAUAGGUUUAAAAAUGUUCACAAAUACAUACUUCAAGGAAGGUAAACAACAUAUAUGUACGACUAUGUCUUACCUCCUAUCCUGAAAAUUAUUGGCAAGAAUCUCCCUGAACAGCAAUGAAAACAAUAUUCCCCCCAUCCUCCCUUUGAAUCAUGCAACAAUUCAUAAGAAAAUUCAUAAGAAGUGGCAUUUGGAUGUUUUUAGGCAACAUGUGAAUUUUCCUCCCACAGGUAGGGAUCCAAACAUGGAUCAGGAGCACCAUGAAUCUCUGCUAGGAGAGGAGUUUGUUGCUAAGAGUCAGACUGGAAAGUGUCGAUCCCAAAUACUGUCCCAGUUCAUGGUGGGAUUGAUUUUAAGAGUGAAACAGACCAGUCUAGGAGAAAUGGUUCAGUUGACCCCAGAAGAAAAUAUUCCUGUGAGAAAAUGCAGAUACAUUCAGUGUCUUAUUGGGAGUCCUGAAAAUUUUCUUAAGUUGUCAUCAGGAAAAUAA
rnacentral:lncRNA from 1 species